ACUGCGACUGUGACUUCGGGGUGUUAUGUUAUUGUAACUGUCUCUGCGUUGUGUAAAAUAAAGCAGUUUUCAUUCUAAUUUUACGAAAUUUGCUCUAGAGACCAUGAAUCGGAAGGAUUCUCGAAUUGUGAACUUCCUCGAAAGCCCCAUUGUUUACACCAUUGUUAUUGUGACUAGUUUUCAACCUCCUUUGCAUGGCUGAAACCUCAAUGAGGAGGAAGGAGUUCAGGGGUAUGCAAGUAGCAGGAAAGACCUGGACAGUUUACUGGACAACAAAAGGUCAACAGCACACAAGCCAUUGUGGAACGGUGGGAGAGGUCUGUGAGGGACGACCAAGAGGAAUUAGAAAGAGCCAAACAGGCAGAAGAAAAACAAUUGAGUGAAAUUGGUAAAGAAAUUAAGAAGGUGGAAGAAAUGAAAUCGAUGCGAAUGUGUCAAAAGAACGACCUAGACAAUAUGCAUGAAGGUAUGGCCUUGGCUUGACGAGAUAUGGGAGCAGUAACAAAAGACCUGCUGAACAUUCAGAAGUCUAUAACUAGUUUAGAAGCGAAUAUUGAAAAAAAGAAGUGAAAGGCACAGCAUUUUAAAUAAAUCAAAGAUGGAAGAUAUCGUUAUUCCGAUGUCGCUUGGUAACAUGGAAGACAUUGGGCAAGAUAGUAAUAUGCUACCGGAAGUAUGAAUAGCGAGUAUGUCACAACCAGUGGUAGCGAUUCAGUUAGCAUUCCACAAAAAUCUCAAUAGAUAUAUGAGAGAGAAGAAAGAAUUGUUGUCGACUAUUCUAAUCUACCUGACAAGUAUAAAAAUCUUCUUGUAUCGGAUGAAAUACGCCGUGAAGGUGAUCUCCUAGAACGUCGCGUGAACGAGUUGAGCCGUACAGUUCAGCAUAUUUAAGCCCCUAAUAUGCGGGCUGUGGAAAAAUUAGACUUGGCAGGAGAAAAACUACAAGGGACCAACACAGAGUUUGAAAGACUCGCGCCAAAACCAAGAAAGCUCAACAGGCAUUUGAAAGAGUAAAACAAGAGCACUUUGAUCUCUUUAUGUCUUGUUUGAACACGAUUUGAAUAAAAUCGAUGGCAUUUAUAAUUCGUUGGCGAGGAACAAUUCUGCUCAAGCCGUUUACCCCAGCCGUCAGAGCGCCCCUAUCGGCCUGACGGUGCAAUAGCGCAAAACCUCAUUCGAGCUGCACCGUCAGCCUGACGGUGCAAUAGAAUUUUCGCCUACGCCGGAUCUAUGCAGACGCACCUACCCCCUAUCACAUCACAACACUGCCUAAUUCCAGAAUUCUUCCAAGAAAGCUCUGUGACUUAGCCGAAGGCCAACGCUUGCAACGCGAGCCCUAGUUAUUUUUUCAGCGUUGCCACAGAGCUAAGCUCCAACCACUACAGACUCCCUUUUAGUCCCAAUUAACCCCACAUUAACGUCCCAAAUAUCCCCCCUAAAACGCUUUUGGGAAAACUUGAAUUAUUAAACACAUGUUUGAAGUAAGAAAUUUUAUUUUUGGGGGGAUUUAAGAUAAAAGCUGUAUCUAAACUUUCGCUAUUUCACUUUAUUUUUUUAAAAAAUUUAUAAAUUUUUAGUAAAGUGAGAAAAGGAACGUAUGAAAAAAAAUGGGGCCUUUCCAAUUUUCCCUUUUCUUCCCUUGGGCCGAUUCUCUGAAGAUUUGGUCGAGAAAACAGUAAACAACAGGGGAAACAUUUAAAUUUAACAGAUUUUAUUUUAAAUAGGUUACCAAAAUUGUUACUAAAAUGUAGCUUGUUCAAUUACCUUUCACAUUAAAUUAUUCCAAGUUGUCUUCUGUUAACUGGGAACGUUUCACGAAUAUUUUUUCGUGACACCCGGCGAUAACCUCUUUUUCCCCUAUUCGAAUAUCACUCAAGAGAAACACGAACAAGAGGGAAGCAUAGCGGAUUCCACAGGAGUGCGUUCACAAACCAGGGGGGUACACGUCAUGAUCUUUCUCUAUUUUAGAUCCUCUUAUUCUGUUUCAGUUUUUUAGAAUAAAUUCCUAUUCUGGUUUGAA